rnacentral:rRNA from 1 species
GACGAACGCUGGCGGCGUGCUUAACACAUGCAAGUCGAACGGAAAGGCCCUGCUUUUGUGAGGUGCUCGAGUGGCGAACGGGUGAGUAACACGUGAGUAACCUGCCCUUGACUUUGGGAUAACUUCAGGAAACUGGGGCUAAUACCGGAUAGGAGCUCCUGCUGCAUGGUGGGGGUUGGAAAGUUUCGGCGGUUUGGGAUGGACUCGCGGCUUAUCAGCUUGUUGGUGGGGUAGUGGCUUACCAAGGCUUUGACGGGUAGCCGGCCUGAGAGGGUGACCGGCCACAUUGGGACUGAGAUACGGCCCAGACUCCUACGGGAGGCAGCAGUGGGGAAUAUUGCACAAUGGGCGGAAGCCUGAUGCAGCAACGCCGCGUGCGGGAUGACGGCCUUCGGGUUGUAAACCGCUUUCGCCUGUGACGAAGCGUGAGUGACGGUAAUGGGUAAAGAAGCACCGGCUAACUACGUG